rnacentral:rRNA from 1 species
ACGUCUGCUAGACUGCUCGACUUCGGUUGGGUGGAAAGGUGGAUAAACUUUGGGGACGUCUUAAGAUAAAUAUUUUUCUCAAACCAGAGGAAGAUUGCGGCAAUAACAGGUCUGUGAUGCCCUCAGAUGUCCCGGGCUGCACACGUGCUACAUUGAGUAGCGCAGUGUGUAAACUUUAUUAGACUGAUGAGUCCUUAAUUUUUACAUUACGUGAAUCUCAUUGACUUAUCAAACCUGCUCUGAAAGGAGCGGGUAAUCUUUUCGAAGUUCUAGUUUGAUUUUCCUGUGGCGAACGUUUUGAGUCCAUGUUCCGUGUGUUUGCGGUGUCCUCUGUCAGUUUCAUGUAUUGUGGGCGUUCUUUGGUUGACUCAUCGUGGGGACUGAUUCUUGUAAUUAUGUUUCACGUGUCAACCGGGAAUGCCUUGUACAGGUUCCCGGUUCAACAGACCACCUGGAAUACGUCCCUGCCCUUUGUACACACCGCCCGUCGCUCUCACCAAUGAGCUUGAGUGUGAGUAGGUCAGACUGAGUAAUUAUUUACUUGGGAAAU